GUCGUUGCUCUGAUCAUGGGAUAUUAGAGCCUGAACUCAUAGCAGAAUACUCCAUUCACUGCAGAAGUUACAUCUAUACUACUCUUUUCUUCUUCCUGAAAUAUUUGUUUGUGUACAUAAGAAAUAACUGCAAAUGAAUCUUAAGCAGAUAAGCUGCCAAGUUUCCUUGUUCGAAAAACGUGGUAUUUAACAUCAGAACUUGUAAUUGUAGCCUGUAAGAUUUGGGAACCAAAUCCUAGUCAUGGUGAUAUCUUGCAGGUCAUUGUUUAUUCCUCUCAGUGUCUCAUCAAGACACAGAGUAGCACACCCUCUCACAGAAACAGAAGGCCAAUGUGGGUCUCGCUUAAAAGCCAACAAAAUCUCUUCUUCACUCCACCCGAUACGCUUCAUCAGCGCAGUUUUCUUCUUCCAAGUAAAAUCACUCAUUGUUAU
rnacentral:misc_RNA from 1 species